rnacentral:rRNA from 1 species
UGGUUCGUUAAGUUGGAUGUGAAAUCCCCGGGCUCAACCUGGGAACUGCAUUCAAAACUGUCGAGCUAGAGUAUGGUAGAGGGUGGUGGAAUUUCCUGUGUAGCGGUGAAAUGCGUAGAUAUAGUAAGGAACACCAGUGGCGAAUGCGACCACC